rnacentral:lncRNA from 1 species
GUAGUGAAGAGAGAAUACGGGACAACUGCAGGACCACAGCUCAGCCAAGAGCUCCCUUGCAGCUGAGUUGGCCAUAUGACUGACAGCAAGCCCUGGAAUGCAGCCAGAAGUGAUAGAAGCCUCUUUCACACCAUGCUCCUAAAAUAUUCCAAGAAAUUUUCCAAACCUACUCUUUUUAGUCUGUGCAUCUGGAAGUGAAAGUUUUAGAAAGGGUAAAGUCACUUAAUGGAAAGGGCCCAGAUCUAGCCCCUCGGAGCCAAGCUGUCCAACUAGAAAUUCUGCAUUAGUAUUUGCGACCCCAGUAAAAAAAAAAAAGUCCCACAAAGAUGUAGGAUCUCACUUUGCCUGCGUUAAUUCCCUGUCCUUUGCCCAGUUUCUCCUCUCUUGGAAGGCAGAGGCAGCUUCUGAUUUUGAUCACUUCAUGUCCAGAUGUACCUUCCACGACCCAGGACUGUCUUUCUCAACAACUUGGAAGCCAUCCCUUUGUAAUGUAAUGAUCAAGAAAAAUAGGGCCCAUGCCUACCUGUCUCCAUGGGAAGCAGAUCUUUGGAGAGAAAAUGCCAAGAGUGGAUGGAGAGGCAAUGGUGAAGCUGAGGCUGAAGUCGGAGGAAGCUGUGAACCCUGCAUGGGGUACCUGAACACCAGGGCAAGUUUCUGGCCCAGAAUGGCUUCUGGGAAAGGGGCCCUCAACAGAUUGGAAGAUGCCCAGGCAGUUGGGGAUGGCAAUCUGCUUUCUCAAUCUACUGAUUCAAAUGCUAAUCUCAUCCAGAAACAUCCUCACAGACAUACCCAGAAAUGAUCUUUAAUCUGGGCCAGUGAAAUUGACAUAUGAAAUUUAACCAUUACAAUAUCUCACCAGUGUCCUCAUUAAUUGAUGAGUUAAAUAAAAUCUUUGACAUGUGUGCAUUUUA